GUAUUGAAAAGGAAUGUUUUACUAUCAAAUAGAAAAGUUUAAAUUUUAUACCUUUUGGAUCAGGGUUGAAUAAUAUUUUAUAUAUAAACAGAUUUCGAAAUUACUUNAUUUAAAAAAAWAUUAUUUUAUUUAUAAAAAUAAAAAAAAAAUUUUUUUUUUAGAGAUGAAAAUUCUUACGAAGGUAAUAAUAUCUAGUUGAGUCCGAAAUAAAAUAAAUUUAUUCCUUGUAGAGGAUAAGUCUAAUUGGGUAAGCUAAUUAGAUUUAAAUAGUAUAAAUAUAAUAUUAAAAUCUAGGCUUUUAAUUAGCUAUGUUUAUAGUUUGUAUUAAAUAAUUUUUUUUUUAAAAAAAAAAUAUUUUAAAUUAAGUCUCUAAGCUACAAAAUUCAUAAAUAGUUAUAAAAAUGGUUAAAUUAGUAUUUUUUUUUUGUUAAUUUUUAUGAACUCAAUAAUAUUUUGACUGUUUAACAAAAACAUUUUUUUCUGUUUAAUAGAAAGUAAGACCUGCCCAGUGAGAUUUUUAACGGCUGCAGUAUUUUGACUGUGCUAAGGUAGCAUAAUAAAUUGUUUUUUAAUUGAAAACUGGGAUGAAAGGUUUGACAAUUUAUAAGUUUAUUAAAGAUAGGAAAUGAAUUUUUACUAUAAGUAAAAAUACUUAUAUAUUAUAGAGGGACGAUAAGACCCUAGAAGCUUAUAUUGAUUUAUUUAUAUAAUAAUUAUAUUUAAUCUAUAUAAAUAAUUAUAUUUUGGUUGGGGAAACAGAAAUUAUAAUAAUAAUUUUAUAUUUUAAUUAUACAAAAUUUUAAGAUCUUUUAAAUAAAAAGGAAAGGAUUAAGUUACUCUAGGGAUAACAGCGUAAUAGUUCUGGAUAGACCUUAUAUAUAGAGCUGAUUACGACCUCGAUGUUGAAUUAAAAAAUCUUAUUAAAGUAGAAAUUAAUUUAGAGGGUUUGUUCAACCUUUAAUUUUUUACAUGAUUUGAGUUCAGACCGGUUCAAGCCAGGUCGGUUUCUAUCUUCUAUAAAAUAAUUUUUUUUUUUUAGUACGAAAGGACCAAAAAAAAUUAAUACUU
rnacentral:rRNA from 1 species